GCACAGCAACGGGUGGAGCGUGCGGUUUAAUUGGAUUCAACGCCGGAAAACUCACCGGAGGCGACGGUUACAUGAAGGCCAGGCUGAUGACCUUGCCUGAUUUUCCGAGAAGUGGUGCAUGGCCGCCGUCAGUUCGUACCGUAAGGCGUUCUGUUAAGUCAGACAACGAACGAGACCCUCAUCUUUAAUUGCUACUGGUAAGUCCGCUUAUCGGGCACAUUAGAGAAACCGCUGGCGAUAAGUCAGAGGAAGGUGAGGGCAACGGUAGGUCAGUAUGCCCUGAAUCCUCCGGGCUACACGCGCGCUACAAAGGCCAGGACAAUGGGCUUCAACACCGAAAGGUGAAGGUAAUCUCGAAACCUGGUCAUAGAUCGGAUUGAGGGUUGAAACUCAUCCUCACGAGCCGGAAUCCGUAGGAAUCGCGGAUCAACGUCCCGCGGUGAACAUGUCCCUGUUCCAUGCCCACCCCGUCUGGCCAAUCAUGUGAGGUGUGUUUGAGUG
rnacentral:rRNA from 1 species